CUAAUCCAGCAAAAUAGGCUUAAAGCUGGAAAAAUAAUAAUGUAAAUAAAAGUACUUUUAUUUACAUUAUUAUUUUUCCAGCUUUAAGCCUAUUUUGCUGGAUCAG